rnacentral:rRNA from 1 species
UACGUAGGGUGCAAGCGUUGUCCGGAAUUAUUGGGCGUAAAGAGCUCGUAGGCGGUUUGUUGCGUCGGCUGUGAAAUCCCGAGGCUCAACCUCGGGUCUGCAGUCGAUACGAGCAAACUAGAGUGUUGCAGGGGAGACUGGAAUUCCUGGUGUAGCGGUGAAAUGCGCAGAUAUCAGGAGGAACACCGGUGGCGAAGGCGGCGUUCUGGACUGCAUCUGACACUGAAAGACGAAAGCCAGGGGAGCAAACGGG